rnacentral:rRNA from 1 species
AUUGAACGCUGGCGGCAUGCCUUACACAUGCAAGUCGAACGGCAGCACGGGUGCUUGCACCUGGUGGCGAGUGGCGAACGGGUGAGUAAUACAUCGGAACAUGUCCUGUAGUGGGGGAUAGCCCGGCGAAAGCCGGAUUAAUACCGCAUACGAUCCACGGAUGAAAGCGGGGGACCUUCGGGCCUCGCGCUAUAGGGCUGGCCGAUGGCUGAUUAGCUAGUUGGUGGGGUAAAGGCCUACCAAGGCGACGAUCAGUAGCUGGUCUGAGAGGACGACCAGCCACACUGGGACUGAGACACGGCCCAGACUCCUACGGGAGGCAGCAGUGGGGAAUUUUGGACAAUGGGCGAAAGCCUGAUCCAGCAAUGCCGCGUGUGUGAAGAAGGCCUUCGGGUUGUAAAGCACUUUUGUCCGGAAAGAAAUCCUUGACUCUAAUACAGUCGGGGGAUGACGGUACCGGAAGAAUAAGCACCGGCUAACUACGUG